CUGUAAGAAGCUUUUGCAAGCGCCGGCCUUUUAAGCCGGCGAUGGGCCCCUAUAACCCCUUAUAGA
rnacentral:tRNA from 1 species